GCCGAAAUAGCUCAGUUGGGAGAGCGUUGGACUGAAGAUCUGAAGGUCCCUGGUUCGAUCCAGGGUUUCGGCA
rnacentral:tRNA from 1 species